AGGAACCUGCCCUGUAAUCGAUAUUCCCCGGAAAUUUGACCUAAGUUUGGAGAUCAGUUUGUAUAUCGCUGUCGUAAGAUUAUUUUAUGAGAAAUUUUUCUAUAAUAAUUAUUUAUUAAUGUCAAGUCAAGGUGCAGUUUAUGCUUAGGGUUGAGAUGGGCUACAAUAUUAGUAGAUAGACGGAUAUAAAUUUGUAAUGUUUAUUGAAGGUGGAUUUAAUUGUAAUGUUAAAUUAAUUAUUUA
rnacentral:rRNA from 1 species